UUGUCCUACGGGGGGCAGCAGUGGGGAAUUUUGGACAAUGGGCGCAAGCCUGAUCCAGCUAUUCCGCGUGUGGGAUGAAGGCCCUCGGGUUGUAAACCACUUUUGUAGAGAACGAAAAGACACCUUCGAAUAAAGGGUGUUGCUGACGGUACUCUAAGAAUAAGCACCGGCUAACUACGUGCCAGCAGCCGCGGUAAUACGUAGGGGGCAAGCGUUAUCCGGAAUUAUUGGGCGUAAAGAGUACGUAGGUGGUUCUUUAAGCGCUGGGUUUAAGGCG
rnacentral:rRNA from 1 species